AAACCCGGUGAUCUAGCCAUGGGCAGGUUGAAGGUUGGGUAACACUAACUGGAGGACCGAACCGACUAAUGUUGAAAAAUUAGCGGAUGACUUGUGGCUGGGGGUGAAAGGCCAAUCAAACCGGGAGAUAGCUGGUUCUCCCCGAAAGCUAUUUAGGUAGCGCCUCGUGAACUCAUCUUCGGGGGUAGAGCACUGUUUCGGCUAGGGGGCCAUCCCGGCUUACCAAACCGAUGCAAACUCCGAAUACCGAAGAAUGUUAUCACGGGAGACACACGGCGGGUGCUAACGUCCGUCGUGAAGAGGGAAACAACCCAGACCGCCAGCUAAGGUCCCAAAGUCAUGGUUAAGUGGGAAACGAUGUGGGAAGGCACAGACAGCCAGGAUGUUGGCUUAGAAGCAGCCAUCAUUUAAAGAAAGCGUAAUAGCUCACUGGUCGAGUCGGCCUGCGCGGAAGAUGUAACGGGGCUAAACCAUGCACCGA
rnacentral:rRNA from 1 species